GGCCUACCAUGGUUUUAACGGGUAACGGGGAAUUAGGGUUCGAUUCCGGAGAGGGAGCCUGAGAAACGGCUACCACAUCCAAGGAAGGCAGCAGGCGCGCAAAUUACCCAAUCCCGACACGGGGAGGUAGUGACAAUAAAUAACAAUACGGGGCUCAUUUGGGUCUCGUAAUUGGAAUGAGUACAAUUUAAAUCUCUUAACGAGGAACAAUUGGAGGGCAAGUCUGGUGCCAGCAGCCGCGGUAAUUCCAGCUCCAAUAGCGUAUAUUAAAGUUGUUGCAGUUAAAAAGCUCGUAGUUGAACUUCGGGGUUUACCCAUUGGUCAGGCUUAAUUGUCUGCACUGGUGAGAUGAAUCUCUACCUUCUGAGGAACUUUCAUGCCAUUUAUUUGGUGUGAUUGGAAAUCAGGACUGUUACUUUGAAAAAAUUAGAGUGUUUAAAGCAGGCUAACGUCUGAAUACAUUAGCAUGGAAUAAUGAAAUAGGACGGACUGAUUCUAUUUCGUUGGUUUCUAGGAUCACCGUAAUGAUUAAUAGGGAUAGUUGGGGGCAUUAGUAUUCAAUUGUCAGAGGUGAAAUUCUUGGAUUUAUUGAAGACUAACUACUGCGAAAGCAUUUGCCAAGGAUGUUUUCAUUAAUCAAGAACGAAAGUUAGGGGAUCGAAGACGAUCAGAUACCGUCGUAGUCUUAACCAUAAACUAUGCCGACUAGGGAUCGGACGAAGUUAAUUUUAUAAUGACGCGUUCGG
rnacentral:rRNA from 1 species